UAAACUUACCUCCCCUUCCCCCUCUUA
rnacentral:piRNA from 1 species